CAGUAGCCGCGGGAAUACAGAGGGUGCGAGCGUUAAUCGGAUUUACUGGGCGUAAAGCGUGCGUAGGCGGCUUUUUAAGUCGGAUGUGAAAUCCCUGAGCUUAACUUAGGAAUUGCAUUUGAUACUGGGAAGCUAGAGUAUGGGAGAGGAUGGUAGAAUUCCAGGUGUAGCGGUGAAAUGCGUAGAGAUCUGGAGGAAUACCGAUGGCGAAGGCAGCCAUCUGGCCUAAUACUGACGCUGAGGUACGAAAGCAUGGGGAGCAAACAGGAUUAGAUACCCGAGUAGUCCCUGUCUCUUAUAC
rnacentral:rRNA from 1 species